rnacentral:misc_RNA from 1 species
GAAAUGCGAUAAUUAAUGUGAAUUGCAGAAUUCAGUGAAUCAUCGAGUCUUUGAACGCACAUUGCGCCCCCUGGUAUUCCGGGGGGCAUGCCUGACCGAGCGUCAUUGCUGCCCUCAAGCACGGCUUGUGUGUUGGGCUUCCGUCCCUGGCAACGGGGACGGGCCCAAAAGGCAGUGGCGGCACCAUGUCUGGUCCUCGAGCGUAUGGGGCUUUGUCACCCGCUCCCGUAGGUCCAGCUGGCAGCUAGCCUCGCAACCAAUCUUUUUAACCAGGUUGACCUCGGAUCAGGUAGGGAUACCCGCUGAACUUAAGC